GAUGUUCUAAUGCUGGCUGCUGUAUUCUGUAAUCUUCAAUUUGUGAAUCAUUGAUUUGUUGAUUUUAAGACUUGGUCACCUACAUACAGACUACAAUCAAAAUUAAUGGAUUAAUUAGAAACUUCAUGCAAGUCAUACACUUUGAUCAAUCAAGGGACACCAUUUAAAAAGUCUUUUCUUCCAAUUAUAAAGAUAAUACUGCAACAAAAAGAAUUUAAUUAUUAGGGCCAAACCUAAAAUACAUAAUUAUAGAUUCACAAGCAAUGAUGUUAUAUUGGAAUUAAUAACCAUAAUUAAAGGUGAUAUUCAUAUUGCUAAAAGGAUGUUUUAAUGCUGGCUGUUGUAUUCAGUAAUCGUUGAUUUGAUGAUUGUGCUGUGUUGAUUUUGAGUAAGGCUUGGUCGCUUAAAUACUGCAAUUAAAAUAAAUAAAUCAAUUGGAAACUUCAUGCAAGUCAAACACUUAAUUCAAUCGAGGGACAACAUUUAACAAGUCUUUUACUCCAAAUAUAAGGAAAUAACACAAUUAUAAUACUGCUCCAAAAUAAACUAUUAUUAAGACCAAACCUAAAAUACGCAGUUAAAUAUUCACAAGUAACGCUGUUAUCUUGGGACAAUAAACAUAAUAAAAGAUGAUAUUCAUAUUGCCAAAAGGAUUUUUUAAUGCUGGCUGCUGUAUUCUGGAAUCCUCAAUUUAUGAAUCGCUGAUUUGAUGAUGAUGCUGCAGUAUUUCAAUUUAAGAAUGGCUUGGUUACUUACAGAUAACAAUCAAAAUUAAUUUAAAUCUUUUGUCGUAUCUUUAGCUGUCUUGCAGUCUUUUGUAAUAUUAAAAAUGUUUUCAUCGCAGUUUUUUAUAGAAUGCCUGUAACAUGUCUUGGUUUCUACUAUUAAACAUACAUUUAAGAAUGUCUAAAGUAUCUAUUAUAGCUUUUAUUGGUAUUUCAAUUAUUUAGAACGGGCCCCCACGUGAACAUAUUCAGUGGGGUCCAUUAUCAUCUUGAAAAAUAAAUAAAUAAAUAAAAAAAUAGUAAAUUUGAUCAUGAUUAAUUUUAAUUUUAAUUUUGUAUAUUGACCUUUGUAAGACAGCACAUGCUGGUGUGACACCCCCUUAUAAUUAUUAAUUUUAAGAAUUUUAUUUUAUUGGGAAAAUGUAUUUAAAACAAACCGUUUUUAACUUUGCACUUCCUCUUACUCAGUACACAUCAUUUUUUACAUUUUAACAAAUUUAAAAAAAAAAAAAAAUAUAUUUGUGUUAUUCUAAUGCAAUUAAUUUUUAAUUUUACUUGUAUAAAAUAAUAUGUGUUCUGCCAAACAAAAAGAAUGAAAUUGAAUUUCUAGACCAAACAAUUUAGUUUUGUACCUAUAUUAGUUUAAAAAAUAAAGUGAUAUGAUAUAAUUAAAA